GACGAACGCUGGCGGCGUGCUUAACACAUGCAAGUCGAACGGUAAGGCCCUUCGGGGUACACGAGUGGCGAACGGGUGAGUAACACGUGGGUGAUCUGCCCUGCACUUCGGGAUAAGCCUGGGAAACUGGGUCUAAUACCGGAUAGGACCACUGCCUGCAUGGGUGGUGGUGGAAAGCUUUUGCGGUGUGGGAUGGGCCCGCGGCCUAUCAGCUUGUUGGUGGGGUGAUGGCCUACCAAGGCGACGACGGGUAGCCGGCCUGAGAGGGUGACCGGGCACGCUGGGACUGAGAUACGGCCCAGACUCAUACGGGAGGCAGCAGUGGGGAAUAUUGCACAAUGGGCGCAAGCCUGAUGCAGCGACGCCGCGUGAGGGAUGACGGCCUUCGGGUUGUAAACCUCUUUCAGCACCGACGAAGCGCAAGUGACGGUAGGUGCAGAAGAAGGACCGGCCAACUACGUGCCAGCCGCCGCCGUAA
rnacentral:rRNA from 1 species